UACGUAGGGUGCAAGCGUUGUCCGGAAUUAUUGGGCGUAAAGGGCUCGUAGGCGGUCCAUCGCGUCGGGAGUGAAAAGCUGGGGCUUAACCCCAGUCCUGCUUCCGAUACGGGUGGACUAGAGGUAGGUAGGGGAGAACGGAAUUCCUGGUGUAGCGGUGAAAUGCGCAGAUAUCAGGAGGAACACCGGUGGCGAAGGCGGUUCUCUGGGCCUUACCUGACGCUGAGGCACGAAGGCCAGGGGAGCAAACGGG
rnacentral:rRNA from 1 species